GACGAACGCUGGCGGCGUGCUUAACACAUGCAAGUCGUACGGUAAGGCCCUUUCGGGGGUCCACGAGUGGCGAACGGGUGAGUAACACGUGAGUAACCUGCCCACAACUUUGGGAUAACGCUAGGAAACUGGUGCUAAUACUGGAUAUGUGCUCCUGCUGCAUGGUGGGGGUUGGAAAGCUCCGGCGGUUGUGGAUGGACUCGCGGCCUAUCAGCUUGUUGGUGGGGUAGUGGCCUACCAAGGCGGCGACGGGUAGCCGGCCUGAGAGGGUGACCGGCCACAUUGGGACUGAGAAACGGCCCAGACCCCUACGGGAGGCAGCGGGGGGGAAUAUUGCACAAUGGGCGCAAGCCUGAUGCAGCAACGCCGCGUGGGGGAUGCCGGCCUUCGGGUUGUAAACCGCUUUCAGCAGGGACGAAGCUUUUUGUGACGGUACCGGCAAAAGAAGCACCGGCUAACUCCGG
rnacentral:rRNA from 1 species